UGCAGUGCCACGCUAAAUCACACACACCCACAGCAAGCAUGACCAUACAGAGUGUACUUUCCUUCUUUUUCUCACACUCUCAGAGACAUGCAAACACAGUGUGCCACUCACCGCGGAGGUAGUGGAAGAAGCCUGUCACCAGGUUGAGGGAUGUGUUCUUUUUUGGGGAGGCUUCGCCCCCUGCUCGCCGUGCCAUCUUGUACGCGACACUACGCCUCUGUUCCCGCCUGUUUUCAUUAGGAUGCUGAGAAGACAUCCACGUCUCUCUCUCUCUCUCUCUCUCUCCUAAUUUCUCACUAUAGGCUGCGGGAACAAUCCACUUCCCUCCAAUGGCCAGCCAAUCAGAGUUGUGGGAAUGUAUGAUGUCACAGCAGCCCUGUCCUGAUGUGGAGAAGGAGAACUAAGUGGUGGUAGGUGGGGACCGUUUAGCACGUAUGGAGAGAAGGACGUGGAAGCGCUGCUCUGACGGCAUCAUGCGCACACAGACUUACACACUCAAACACAACAUCAGGAUCAUCAGACGUGCAGGAAUCCCCUAUGCGUUGCUGACAUUCAUGACAUGCAGGGCUCUGAGGCUUGCAGCUUUCUGCUUCACAGAGCCUGCAGGGGAGCAGAAUACCACUGGCAGUCGUUCCUGUCUGAUCUGUUACUGUACUCUCUUCAGAGCAGACACUUUCAUCUCAGUCAGUCGUGUACAGAACAUGUGUCUGUUUGUCUCCUACGGGGGAAGGAGGAAUGUUUUGAGUAUACAGUGGAGGAGCACACAUUUUCUUGGAUGUAAAACAGCACGUAAUAUACACAAUAUAUUAUGCAGCAAGAUCAGAGUUUUAAGUGUAAGGAAGUACAAAACAAAGAAAACAAUGUUAACUAUGGUAAAUUAAAAAUAAACAAAUGCAAUAUAACUGUGUGCAAUAUACUUCAAAUAAUUCUGCAGAUUGCAAGUGUAUUUUGUGUUAUGGUUUUUGAGAAUAUUUAAAUUAAAACACUUUUAUGGAG